rnacentral:rRNA from 1 species
GAUGAACGCUGGCGGCGUGCUUAACACAUGCAAGUCGAACGGUGAAGGCGGAGCUUGCUCUGCUGGAUCAGUGGCGAACGGGUGAGUAACACGUGAGCAAUCUGCCCCUGACUCUGGGAUAAGCGCUGGAAACGGCGUCUAAUACUGGAUACGAGCUGCGAAGGCAUCUUCAGCAGCUGGAAAGAACUUCGGUCAGGGAUGAGCUCGCGGCCUAUCAGCUUGUUGGUGAGGUAACGGCUCACCAAGGCGUCGACGGGUAGCCGGCCUGAGAGGGUGACCGGCCAAACUGGGACUGAGACACGGCCCAGACUCCUACGGGAGGCAGCAGUGGGGAAUAUUGCACAAUGGGCGAAAGCCUGAUGCAGCAACGCCGCGUGAGGGACGACGGCCUUCGGGUUGUAAACCUCUUUUAGCAGGGAAGAAGCGAAAGUGACGGUACCUGCAGAAAAAGCGCCGGCUAACUACGUG